rnacentral:misc_RNA from 1 species
AAGUCGUAACAAGGUUUCCGUAGGUGAACCUGCGGAAGGAUCAUUAUCACGUAAUAAUCCACGUUAUAAACCCUUCUUUGAAUUGUUUAAAACACUAAAUUUCUGGAACAGCUUUCGUAGCUGGAAUGCUUUUGGAUUGGGUCAUAGAAAUUUUAAUAGAAUAAUUUGCAGUGGGGGUGGUAACACACUCAUUGCAUUUAAAUGGGAAAAUUAUUGUAAUUUGAGAUCCCAGAGUUCUGUUAAUAGUUUAUGACCAGCAAUUCGUUAUGCGUCUCAGAAAUUGUAACUCAAAUUACAUUAAUAGAAUUAACUAUUUUAACCCCUUUUGAUAAAUUGAACUAACGAUUCUCUACUCUAGCCUUAAAAAGCGUGAGAUUGAAUAAAUACGAAACAAAGAACAACUCUUAGCAACGGAUAUCUUGGUUCUC